CCUACGGGUGGCAGCAGUGGGGGAUAUUGCACAAUGGGGGGAACCCUGAUGCAGCGACGCCGCGUGUGGGAAGACGGUCCUCUGGAUUGUAAACCACUGUCCCCAGGGACGAAAAUGACGGUACCUGGGGAGGAAGCUCCGGCUAACUACGUGCCAGCAGCCGCGGUAUUACGUAGGGAGCGAGCGUUGUCCGGAAUAACUGGGUGUAAAGGGAGCGUAGGCGGGGAUGAAAGUUGGGGGUCAAAACUACCGGCUCAACUGGGAGUCGCACUCAAAACUGCAGCUCUUGAGUGAAGUAGAGGCAGGCGGAAUUCCUAGUGUAGCGGUGAAAUGCUUAGAUAUCACGAAGAACUCCGAUUGCGAAGGCAGCUUACUAAACUGCCACUGACAUUGAGGCUCGAAAGUGUGGGUAUCAAACAGGAUUAGAGACCCCUGUAGUC
rnacentral:rRNA from 1 species